ensembl:lncRNA
CACAUUUGUGCUCUGCUGUGUUGUAUUUAUAUGACUCUUGAGGCAAGUGUGGAUCUGUGUGUGUGUGUUUUAAAAAUCACUUAUUUCUUAGUGAUUUCAAUUGUACCAUGACUUCCUCACUGAAGCCACAAAGCCCUGCUUACGACUCUGGGUCUCCCAACCGGAUGAGAGGUUUUGAAUCUUCUGAGGAGCCGAUGUAUACUUGUUAUGUAAUGUGAUCAGUUUCAAUGUCAUUUGUAUGUUACAGGGGGACCUUCUUUCUUUUAAACUGUGAUUUAUUUAUUUUUUUUUCCUUUGAGUUAGAGAAGCGAGGUGGAAUGUUGGAGUAUCUGUUCUUUGUCAGGACAAUGAGCCAGAGAGUAGAGGAGGGCAUGCUUCGUGCCCAAACAUGUUCCCUUAUUCUGUGCCACGGUGGUCCUCGUUGCCAAAUGGCAGUCACAGCUUGCUCCACAGCACUGUGGUCUGGUGCUGCUCUGCUUUGUUGGCCAGCCCCACUGCCUCCUUGGAAGCACACAGUCGGCCCAGAUCCCUAGAGUGUACAGCACAGCCAGACCCCUCUUGACUGUCAGCUCACAGUUGUGACCUUCCAUGUGUGGCUGCUUCUUUCUUCUGCACUUUCAUGUCUAUUGUAGUUCAUGGCGUCUCUUUUCCAGCCCAAAGCCCCCUUGUGUGUUUUUACGCGGGGUUUUGACCCUGGUUGUGUGACUGGGCAGGACGUGUCACCCCGUGGGUCCUCUUUUCUGAGCUGUCUUCUAAUCCCAGUGUUCUGUGGUUCUGGCUGAGCGAGCACAUGUACCAGAGGCUGCUGUGGGUGUUGGGCUGUGUCCCCGGCGUUGAAAAAUCAAGUGUUUUCAGGCCUUUUCUAAAUGCUUGUCCUUAGCAGUCAGUCAUAAACCGUGCAGGUGAUUAGUAACAAAUCUAGUUUUCUGAUUGAAGAAUGAACCUGGUUCCUCAAGUCAGAGAUAGAAUGGCACCUCUCCUGUUGCCCCACUGUGGGCAAAUAAGGGGGUCCUGGGGAGCAAGUAGUCUCGGCUGGGACGUAGCAGCAGAGAGCCACCUUGAAUAGUCCGCCUGGGGGUUCAGGGAGCUGAGGGGGGGCAGUGGAGCUACCUGCAAGAAGGCCAGAGGGUCAGCUGGGGUUUUGUUUUCUUCUGACUUCCUCACAUGCUUGCUGGUGAAGUAAGGGGGAUUUCAUAGUGGAGAAGCCAGGAGACAGAUGCUCCUUGUGUCUUUGCCACACAUUGUUUUUCACACAUUGUUUUUCUUACUCCCAUUUAUUUACUCCAAGAUCUUGCACGGUACAGACAAGUUUCCAGAGACUGUUGUAACACACACCUGUGCAAGUCUUGAUGAGUGGCAUAACAAUUUGCUUCGAAUCUUUUUUUUUUUUGGCCAGAAAUAAAAUAUGACAAGUUGUGUGUCCUCCCUUUCUGUGGAUUCAGUGCCUCACUUCCAUGCAUGGUUCUAUGUUUCUCACUUUUUUUGGUAAUCAUAUGUAUUGUGCAGUCCUGAUUUAGAGGUUUUGUUUUCUUUGCCAAUUUAAAUCCUAUACAUUUUCAUGGCAGCCUUCUGAGGUCCUUGGGGUGAGAGGCACCUUACAGGUGAGGAAACCAAGGGCCAGAGGGGACAGCAUCUCCCCGCCCCCCACCCCAGGUCACCAGGUGGAGUCCAGACUUUCCCCAUCUCAGGCUCUCUGCCAGCUGGGACGAGGCCACAUCACCAUGGCCCCGUCACCUUUGGGAAAGCGCAGCCUCCUUCCAGCAAGCUUAGGAGGCCUGACAUGCGUGCCAGGUUUGGAGCUUAAGUUGCUGUUGGCUCCUGCUCGGUGACAUAAGCAGCUGAUGAACAAGGGUGUCACAGAACCAGGGAGCAUCUGCAGGGGCUGGGCCUGGGUGCCCCCCCUGCUGAGGUCUUGCUUGUAGAACACCCGAGCCUUUUCCCUUUGCAGCCACAUGCUACACUCAUAACUGCUCUCAGCAUCGAAAAAAUACAUGUUUAUGUUUUGCUCCUGAAAGUGAAACCCUGGAAGGCAGCCUGGGUCUUAUUAUGUUUAUUACGUUCUGCCUGUUUCAUACUCUGAGCAUUUUAGGAGCUGUAGUUGAACUGUAUUUAAGGUGUAUUUCCAGUUAGUGGUGUACAAUUCUAUAAUGUAUGUUUGAAACUAGUGUCUCUUUCAGAAGGGGCAGAAUUUAACUUUUAACCUUCCGCAGGUGGACUUGGAAACCAUUUUAUGGGAUUUAUUUUUCCCCACUGGACUUUUUAUCCUGUAACUUAUAUUAUGCAAGAUGAUUUCAAAAAUAUAUUUUAAGGGAGACUGAACAGACUCUUUGAUUUGAGUGAGCUAGUUGCUGAGCUGGCUGGAGGCUGAUUUGAAUGGAUCUGUGAGUUCAGAUCUUCAAACUGUCAGUGAGCCGCCAGCAGGCUUGGGAGCAUCCCUGAUGCCACCAGGUUUGGGGUGUGUGACAGAUUCGGCCAAGAACGUCAUCGCUUGAGAAACUGGACGGCAGUGGCCUUGUUGCAUAAGAAGCCCUCCCGAGGUCAGUUUCCAAGGAAGCCGAUCUAUGUCACUCUACUAAAGGUGGCACCGCUUCUGUGUCACUGGUAUCUUAGGCACCAUGACUUUUUGUCUUUGUACCUAGGAGAGGGGGGAGGGGAGGGGCAGUUUCCCUCAGGCCCAGGGUUCCUGGCCUUCCACAGUCUGGGCAGGGAGACUGCCCAGGGGACUGUCGUACACACCGCGCAUGACAACUAACCAUGGGCCGACUCACUGUGCUUGUCCAUAGCAGGGCCUCUGAACAAGUGGCUGGAACAAACCAGCAGCUCCCUGAAGAGGGUCUGAUUCCUGGGCAGAGCCCCAGUAUUCCGUCUUUGUCUCGGUCAAAACAAACUUCCUUUCCGCUUGAUUACCCUUCACGAAGUUGCCCACCUUGCACUUUUUGAAGAGAUCACCCGCUCCCACUUCCUGACUUGGUUUCCCGUGUUGGCUGGGGGCCUCCAUAGGGUGCUGGGCCUGGGCCAAGUGGUGAUGACUGAGCAUAACUGAAGGGCCCUUCUAGGCCCACAUCCUCUUGGUGCGGGCUCUGCUCACCCAUGUUCCCUGCAGAAGGUGGGGCCCAUUCUCAGCCAGGAAUUGGAGUCCCUGCUGCUGACUGCCUGCUUCUAUUUGAAGGAGGCCCCAUCUUUCUCUUCCUCCCAGCACCGUCCCCCCUUUCAGGUUGACCAGCAGUGACCUUACUCACCUGGGCUCUCAGGUGCAUAGAGGCUCUUCUUCCUCAGGGCCGCCUCUUGAUAGAGUAAGGCUUUCAACCUGUCAUAUGUGCACCAUGUUUUCAAAGGCAGGGAUUUUGGCUGGGAGGGUAGCUGGGGAGAGGCGUACUUUGGGUGUGGAAGUGUUGAGGUUUUAGAACCUGUGGAUGGUUUAUGAAAAUAGAGGCCCAGACUUUGUAAAAUCUAGGGUUUUAUGGCCAGUGGCUUUCAAAUCCAUGGGCUCUUUGAAAACCCUGUCCUCCUCCUCCCCGCUUCUACCAAAUGCUCAUCUGUUGAAUCUCCUAUUUAUUUUUUGAUUUUUUUGUCUUUGUCUUUUUUUUUUUUUUUUAGGGUCACAUCUGUGGGAUAUGGAGGUUCCCAGGCUAGGUGUCAAAUCGGAGCUAUAGCCACUGGCCUACAACACAGCCGCAGCAAUUCAGGAUCUGAGCUGUGUCUGUGACCUACACCGCAGCUCCUGGCAAUGCUGGAUCCUUAACCCACUGAGCGAGGCCAGGGAUCGAACCUGCACCAUCAUGGUUACUAGUCGGAUUCAUUUCCACUGCGCCACAACAGGAACUCCUCUUUUUUAUUUUUGAGUCAUUAAGUUACCAGCAGUUUAUUAGUAAUAAUUGAAAUAAUAGUAAUAGUGCUUAAUAUGUGCCAGGCACAGUGCUAAGGAUUUCCAUACAUUAUCCCUUUUAAUCCCAAAAAACCAACCUUUGAUUAGGUAUUAUCCCCAUUUUAUAUGUGAGGAAAAGGAAGCACUGUGACACGCUGAGGGCACUGAAUGGUUAAGAAGACAGACUUUGAGAUCCAAGAGCCCUAGGUUUGGACAGGGUACUAGAUGCAGUUCCAACCCUGUUGGCUCUGAUAAUAGCACCUCCCUUGUGGGGUAGUUGUGAGGGUUUUAUGAAAUAAUAUGCCAUAAACAUUUGGCACAGUGCCUGGCGUGUAGUAAGCACUCAGUAAAUGGUAGCUGUUUUUAUGGAACUCACUGGUAAUUGGAACCCAAGUUAGUAUAAUGCCAGAGACUGGGUCUUGGCCACUGUGCUGCCCUUGCCCUUCACACAGCCUGGGUGUACGAAGUCUAGAAAGCAAGUGCACCCUCCUUCUGAGAGAAGCAGUGCAACUUUAGCCCCUACCUGUAGCAUCUGGGUACUUCCUUCUUUGUUCAGAGAGCCAGCCUGACAAAAGGGAAGAGGGUAUGGAGGUUUCAGUAGGAACGGUUUGCCUGCACCCUGCUGGCCCUCGUCGAGACUUUCCAAAGGAAGGAGCCCCUUUCCUUUUGCCCCAUUGUUGCCCCCACUCCACUCCUUGAGCAGCGAGGGCCUAUCUGUGCCUUGGUCUGGACCCCUUGUCCCCCUCUGCCAAGAACUGUGCUCUGUGCACACAGCUUAGGAAGCUGCAGCUGUUCUCUGAAUGAGCAGGCACCACAGGGCCCAAGAAGAGUGGGAGAGAGAAAGCGUCUCUGUAGUGGCUGGUAACACAGAAGGAGAGCCCGGACACUCUCGCUCAUGUCCGUACCCGCCAGGCUUUGUGUUUCUUGCUUUCCUACAAGUGUUAACAGGAUAGAUGCAGGGGACCCGGUGAGGAUAGGUGAUACGGGGGAGUUUCUGUUGGAUUCUAGGAUAGCGAAGGGCCACAUGUGAUUUGUGAAUGGAGACUAGGCACUGGAUUGAGUGACAAAUAUUUCUUUUCAUUUUUCAAAUGGAAACCGGAUUUGGGGAAAGUGUGUGUGAGGUGUGGAGCGUUCUUCACUUUGAAGGAAUGGCAUUGACGGGAUCCAUGGAGUUCUAAAGCCAAGAGAAUAGUAAUGAUUAGAACCACUGGCUUGACUGUGGCCUGUUUCCUGAGUGUUGGUGGGGAAUGAAGAUCCGGCCCAAAGGCCCCCUGUGUUUAACUGAUGGUCUCUUCCUUUGGUUAGUUGAUGAAUAAGUAGGAUGGGAACCAGGAACAUGGUUGUGGGGGUGGAGUAAGCUGCUGCCAUGGCUGAGCCUGGGCUUGCCCUCUCGCCCUUCAGGACUGGUGCUUGCCAGGCUAGCACCUCCCUCAUCGUUUCAUCUGAUGGACCAGCUGCUUUUUAACUGUAGUGAAAAUGGCUCUGAGCUGGAGGCAGGGAUCCUCUGGGCCUUGGUCUUGAAGAUGCCUCUGCAGAGCUCUCCUGAGCUCUCUGCAGUCUCCCGGGGCUCCCUUUAUGUGGCACUCAGCUUUAGUUGGGUGGAGCCGCCUGGUGACCCUGUCCCGGGUGACAGGGUUUGCUGACAUCCUCCACAGCGCAGUCUGGGUCCUCGGCUGCUGGAGCUCUCUUUUGUCACCUCUGUCAGGAUCAGGCGCUGGUUUUGCUGGCUUUGUGCCAGGAAUCACCAGCAUAGAAAAAGGGUUAAGAAGAUACGUACAUAUUCUAUUAUAUAAGGUGUUUUGCGAGUGCUGUUUUCACUUAAAUCUUUCACACACAGCACUGUGUGGCUGCCUUAUGUCACACUGGCUGGGUAUCUGGGAGCUGAUAACAAGGGAAGAGAGCUUAGCAGACGUCAGGGCCAAUAAAACCAAAGGCUUGGAGUCAGGGGCAGGAUGCAGGCAGUAUUGUCCAGGCAGAGCACUGUCGAGAAGCCUUGGGGAUGGCAGCAGGAGGAGCACAGGCAGAGGAUAGGCGAGUCCUGUCACUGGCGGAGGCCAGCCCCCUGCAUCUCUCUCCGUGGGGACCAGAAACGGGGCUCAGAAGCCCAUCCAGGGAGAUUCAGCGCUCCUGGAUUGUGGAUUAUCUUCUGGAGUUGAUGCUGAUACCAAGUUUUAAUUUUUUUCAGAUGUUUCAUACUUCCCAAGACAGGAGUGGGAGGCCAAAGUGUUAGAGACGAGGCCCCUCUGUUGAAGAUUCUGGGGAAGGAACCCCGGGGGUGUUGGGUGAGUGAGGCGCCUCCUCACUUCUGUUCACUCUGAAGAUCCGCUUAGUGAGACAUUUUCCCGAAACCUAGAUAUGGCCUCCCCGGCCCCACUGGGGAGUACCAGGUAGUCAAAAGCAGCCCCUGCAGUGUCUGUGCCGCCCUCAGGUUGCCCUGUCCCUGCCUUUGGCAUUUCGCUAAAACCAUGUGUUUUUGCCAGCGCUGACCUUUUCUCUGUGCACUGCCUGAUCAGUAUUGAACAAUACCUGUAGAUUCUUUUUCAAUGCAACGUCAGAACAUGAUAUACUGUACGCUGGGAAAUAGUCACCUUAUUUAUACACCUGAAUCCUCCUAUUCCACAAAUAAACAUCUGCUCAAUUC